UGUGAUGUUUGCUCCAGGUGAUGACUUGUCUUGUGAUGUUUGCUCCAGGUGAUGACUUGUCUUGUGAUGUUUGCUCCAGGUGAUGACUUGUCUUGUGAUGUUUGCUCCAAGUGAUGACUUGUCUUGUGAUGUUUGCUCCAGGUGAUGACUUGUCUUGUGAUGUUUGCUCCAGGUGAGGGCUUGUCUUGUGAUGUUUGCUCCAGGCGAGGGCUUGUCUUGUGAUGUCUGCUCCAGGUGAUGGCUUGUCUUGUGAUGUUUGCUCCAGGUGAGGGCUUGUCUUGUGAUGUCUGCUCCAGGUGAGGGCUUGUCUUGUGAUGUUUGCUCCAGGUGAGGGCUUGUCUUGUGAUGUCUGCUCCAGGUGAGGGCUUGUCUUGUGAUGUUUGCUCCAGGUGAGGGCUUGUCUUGUGAUGUUUGCUCCAGGUGAGGGCUUGUCUUGUGAUGUUUGUUUCAGAUGAGAGCUUGUCUUGUGAUGUUAGCUCCAAGUGAGGGCUUGUCUUGUGAUGUUUGCUCCAGGUGAUGGCUUGUCUUGUGAUGUUUGCUCCAAGUGAGGGCUUGUCUUGUGAUGUUUGCUCCAGGUGAGGGCUUGUCUUGUGAUGUCUGCUCCAGGUUAGGGCUUGUCUUGUGAUGUUUGCUCCAGGUUAGGGCUUGUCUUGUGAUGUUUACAGCAGGCUUGCGAUGUGUGAUACCUUUUCCAAUGGGCUGCUGUUUGUUCUUUGCCACAGUUCCUGAUUAGUGAUAUUGUUUGGCCUCCCCAAGGGAUUUGAAGAUUUUCUUCAUGGUAUUGACGGUGGUUCUCCAGGAAUCUGAUCCAUUUAGUAUUGGCUCUAUGAUGUAAGA
rnacentral:sRNA from 1 species